rnacentral:rRNA from 1 species
GACGAACGCUGGCGGCGUGCUUAACACAUGCAAGUCGAGCGGUAAGGCCCUUUCGGGGGUACGACGAGCGGCGAACGGGUGAGUAACACGUGGGUGACCUGCCCUCAGCUCUGGGAUAAGCCUGGGAAACUGGGUCUAAUACUGGAUAUGACUCCACGGUGCAUGUCGUGGGGUGGAAAGCCUUGUGCGGCUGAGGAUGGGCCCGCGGCCUAUCAGCUUGUUGGUGGGGGUGANGGCCUACCAAGGCGACGACGGGUAGCCGGCCUGAGAGGGCGACCGGCCACACUGGGACUGAGACACGGGCCCAGACUCCUACGGGAGGCAGCAGUGGGGAAUCUUGCGCAAUGGGCGAAAGCCUGACGCAGCGAC